GUUAUCGUUUAUUUGAUAGUACCUUACCACUUGGAUAACCGUGGUAAUUCUAGAGCUAAUACAUGCUAAAAACCCCGACUUCGGAAGGGGUGUGUUUAUUAGAUAAAAAACCAAUGCCCUUCGGGGCUCUUUGGUGAUUCAUGAUAACCUAACGGAUCGCAUGGCCUUGCGCCGGCGACGGUUCAUUCAAAUUUCUGCCCUAUCAACUUUCGAUGGUAAGGUAUUGGCUUACCAUGGUUUCAACGGGUAACGGGGAAUUAGGGUUCGAUUCCGGAGAGGGAGCCUGAGAAACGGCUACCACAUCCAAGGAAGGCAGCAGGCGCGCAAAUUACCCAAUCCCGACACGGGGAGGUAGUGACAAUAAAUACUGAUACAGGGCUCUUUUGGGUCUUGUAAUUGGAAUGAGUACAAUUUAAACCCCUUAACGAGGAACAAUUGGAGGGCAAGUCUGGUGCCAGCAGCCGCGGUAAUUCCAGCUCCAAUAGCGUAUAUUAAAGUUGUUGCAGUUAAAAAGCUCGUAGUUGAAACUUGGGUCUGGCUAGCGGGUCCGCCUCACCGCGUGCACUUGUCCGGCUGGACCUUUCCUUCUGGAGAACCUCAUGCCCUUCACUGGGUGUGUUGGGGAACCAGGACUUUUACUUUGAAAAAAUUAGAGUGUUCAAAGCAGGCCUUUGCUCGAAUACGUUAGCAUGGAAUAAUAGAAUAGGACGUGCGGUCCUAUUUUGUUGGUUUCUAGGAUCGCCGUAAUGAUUAAUAGGGAUAGUCGGGGGCAUCAGUAUUCAAUUGUCAGAGGUGAAAUUCUUGGAUUUAUUGAAGACUAACUACUGCGAAAGCAUUUGCCAAGGAUGUUUUCAUUAAUCAGUGAACGAAAGUUAGGGGAUCGAAGACGAUCAGAUACCGUCGUAGUCUUAACCGUAAACUAUGCCGACUAGGGAUCGGGCG
rnacentral:rRNA from 1 species